AAGCUUAUGAGAUCAUGCAUAUACUGUAUAGAGAAAUAUGAUCCAUGAUGUCAAGAGAUGGGUUAUGAAGUCUUUUUGUUGAGCUGAGAGCUGAGUGUUUUCAUCAUUGUGGUGAUUUAAAAUGACUCGAGAGUUUUCAAGUGUUGUCUCCUUUAUUUCUGCUAAUACGAUUGGACUGAGGACGAUCUGCAGGGCAGUUUGGACUAGAGCUUUUUUUGAACAGUUAUGACAAUUUUCUGUUCUGGAAAAUCCCAUGAAUUCCACUGGGGAAGAUACUCUCAACAGUUAUCAUACAAGGAUAUGCUGAAAUAUGGAAGCACAUACAUUUUAUUAACCCAUAGAACAUAUUAAAAUAUAAGCUAUAAAGUCAGAGACACUGGAUGAAGCUCAUUGGAAAAGCCUUAUUGUUAGCCAGUGAUCAUGCCUUGGAUCAUUCUACUUUACAACUUUUAUAAAAACCAUAAUUUACAAAAUUGACUUUUAUUUUUCUCAGUACAGUUUACAUGAGCACACACACAUCAAGAAAACUACUAAGACUAAAAUGAGUCUUUUUAAAAAGCCUUGAAAUAACGUAGUCAAACAUGGCUUCUAUUGAAGUAUGGUUCCUCGAUAUCAGGGGUGUCCAACUCCAGUCCUCGAGAGCUACUGUCCUGCAGCCUUUAGAAGCAUCCUUGUUCCAACACACCUGAAUCAAAUGAAUGGCUUGUUAUCAGGCCUUUGCCAGACUUGAGGGCAUGCUGAAGAGGUGACCUAACCAUUUGAUUUAGCUGUUUUGGAGUAAGGAUGCAGGUCAGUAGCUCUCGAGGACUGGAGUUGGACACCCCUGCUCUAUAUUGCCUGUUAUACUGUGUCAAAUUAGAAAUAUUUACAUUUUACCUUUUCUAUUUUAAGCAUGGAUGCUCCCAUUUGGGAAAAAAGAGGAAAAACAAAUGAACCAAAAUGAAAAGAGAUAAAGUACAGGCAAACAGAGAAAGUCAUAAUCAAAAUCAAACAGAAAGUGAACUCGUAGAUAAAGGCAAGAAAACAGUCACACUAGGAAAAGGAAAACAAGAGGACUCCAGAGCCAAACCUCAAAUAAACCCCACACAGUUACUCAGCGUCUGAUAUAUCUGCUCAAUGUGCUGGCUAUUCGUGUGAAAAAAUUGUUUUAUUAGUAAUUUUAAUUUAACAUUACUGGUCUUGUUGAGCACUAACAGUGGUAUAUAGUGGUCAGUACUAAACCAUAACUGCUAAAAGUACCAUUAAAAAAAAGGUACAGUUACAACAGUUCCAAAAAAGGGAGGAGACAAAGUAGACUGAGUCAUCAACUAGGAUGUUAUUAUAAUGUGUUUGGUCAGUGAAUAAAUCUUUAGCUUUGAAAUCAGCAUAACAGAGUUUCAGUGUUAUAAACUACAUUUAAAGUAGCCUACACAGAUGCAUAAGGAGAUACACGUACGAUGAAACACGUACAGUUUAAACCAGAUAUUUACAUACAAAAAGACAUUAAAACCUUUUUUUCUUUUCCGUCAAACAUCAAAUCAGAGUAAACGUUUUUGUUUUAGAUCAAUAAAUAUUGACAUAUUUUUAGUAUUUGUGAAACACUUUCAUCAAAGUCAGAAGUAUACAUAAACUAAGUUUAUUGUGUCUUUAAAAAGAAACCUUCAUAUGAUUUUAUUCUGAGCUUAAGAAGCUUCUGAUAGGUUAAUUGAGUCCAUUUGAGUUAAUUGGUGGCACACCUGUGAAUGCUAAUAAAGGCACACCCCAAACACAGAGCCUCUUCCUACACUCCACAUCAGUUGGUGGCAGUAAUGCACCAAUUUGCUGUUUGCCAACCGCCAAUAAACAAUAUAAAGAAGAAGAAGAAGGGCCUCUUUCUUUGGCAUCAUGAGAAAAUCAAAAGAAAUCAAUGAAGGCAUCAGAAAAAGAAUUGUGGACCUACACAAGUAUAGCUCAUCCUUAUGUGCAAUUUCCAGAUGCCUGAAGGUCCCACAUUCAAUUCAAUUCAAUUCAAUUCAAUUCAAUUCAAUUCAAUUUUAUUUAUAUAGCGCCAAAUCACAACAAAAGUCGCCUCAAGGCGCUUUAUAUUGUACAGUAGAUAGCACAAUAAUAAAUACAGAGAAAAACCCAACAAUCAUAUGACCCCCUAUGAGCAAGCACUUUGGCGACAGUGGGAAGGAAAAACUCCCUUUUAACAGGAAGAAACCUCCGGCAGAACCAGGCUCAGGGAGGGGCGGCCAUCUGCUGUGACCGGUUGGGGUGAAAGAAGAAAAACAGGAUAAAGACAUGCUGUGGAAGAGAGACAGAGAUUAAUAACAGAUAUGAUUCGAUGCAGAGAGGUCUAUUAACACAUAGUGAGUGAGAAAGGUGACUGGAAAGGAAAAACUCAAUGCAUCAUGGGAAUCCC
ensembl:lncRNA